ACAGGUUUACACAGCGGUUUUAACAAAUCCCGCGUAAUAAAGUCGGUUCGGGGGCCAGCCUAGCUAACGGAAGAGACCUCGCCCCUCUGAUCGCAUCCAGUCUUCAACUUGUGGUCUCGGUGGGCGUGCUGGGUGGGCGGCGGACGAGCAGGGAAAGCCUUGGAGAACGUGCAGCGCGAUGCUAAAAAGCCCCACGUUCACCCACCUUCGGCGCGGCGGCGAGACGAGACGAACGCUUUUAACAGGACAGUUAUUUCUUCUUUCUCUCCCUACCUCUCCCUCUCUCUCUCUCUCUCUCUCCGCCUCUCUUCCUCUCUCUACGUCAUCCCUCCCGAAGACGCGCGUCCGGUAGUUAAAGGAGGCGGAAUGUGAUCGUAAAAAAAAAUAUAGGAACUCAUAAAAAUGAGUUUUAUUCCAGCGACACUCCGCCAGACUCCGCCCCUCGGACGCCGCUACCUCCGCCAUCGAGAGCCUCAGCAGUGCGCCCCGAACAGCCUCCACGGAGUCAUAGUCCAGUACUUAAGAAAAAGGAUCCAAUCUGCCAAUUCCAACAAGGGCCCCAGCAGGGAGGCGAGGCGCUGAAGGGAACAGCGGGGGGGAAGGAGACGAGAAGGAACAGCCACUGACUCAUCACAUAUGGCGGCGUCUCAGGGGUUGCCGAAUGGCCGACUUCCCCGCCCAUUUUCAGGAUCUUUAACUGCUCUUUUAGGUGCGUGGUGUUCGUGAAAUUUCCCGCAGUUUUUGUUCAAUGAGAUUUGACAUUGCUUGCCACAAUAUUAUGUCAGAAAUAAUAUCUUAAUAUUUGUUUAUAAAGUGAAUACUGUGAAGUUUUUUUUUUUCGGGUGAAAUAUUUCGUUGGUGAAACUUUUACUGUAGUCCUAUUGACUGUAAGAACCUGUGGUAGGCGUUUUAGUGGGCAGGUAAAAUGUUCAUGUACUUGGCCAGAAUAAAGAUUUUAAAUUCA